UACGUAGGGUGCGAGCGUUGUCCGGAUUUAUUGGGCGUAAAGAGCUCGUAGGCGGUUUGUCGCGUCGGCCGUGAAAUCUCCACGCUUAACGUGGAGCGUGCGGUCGAUACGGGCAGACUUGAGUUCGGUAGGGGAGACUGGAAUUCCGUGGUGUAGCGGUGAAAUGCGCAGAUAAUCAGGAGGAACACCGGUGGCGAAGGCGGGUCUCUGGGCCGAUACUGACGCUGAGGAGCGAAAGCGUGGGGAGCGAACAGG
rnacentral:rRNA from 1 species